rnacentral:lncRNA from 1 species
UUAUACUGCUACAUUGAUGCGGAAUAGGAUUUAGUUUUCAGGUUGAUUGGAUUCUAAUGAUAUGUGACAUUGUUGGGUCUAUGUGGGCUUGAGCUCAGCCAAAAUUUCCUAACAAAUAGUACCAGAGCCCAUAGAUUGACCCUGAAUUAGCCGCUCGACUAUGUAUUAUAGUGUAGUGGCCUAUUUACAUGGUAUACCGUUUGAUACGCUCAAAAGA